AUUGAACGCUGGCGGUAGGCCUAACACAUGCAAGUCGAACGGCAGCACAGUAAUAGCUCGCUCUUACGGGUGGCGACUGGCGGGCGGGUGAGGAAUACAUCGGAAUCUACUUUUGCUUGGGUCAUAACGUAGGGAAACUUACGCUAAUACCGGAUACGGCCUACGGGUGAAAUCAUCGGAUCUCCCGACCUUGCCCGAUUGUAUGAGCCGAUGUCGGAUUAGCUAGUUGGCGGGGUAAAGGCCCACCAAGGCGACGAUCCGUAGCUGGUCUGAGAGGAUGAUCAGCCACACUGGAACUGAGACACGGUCCAGACUCCUACGGGAGGCAGCAGUGGGGAAUAUUGGACAAUGGGCGCAAGCCUGAUCCAGCCAUACCGCGUGGGUGAAGAAGGUCUUCGGGUUGUAAAGCCCUUUUGUUGGGAAAGAAAAGCAGCAGGUUAAUACCCCGCUGUUUUGACGGUACCCAAAGAAUAAGCACCGGCUAACUUCGUG
rnacentral:rRNA from 1 species